CCUACGGGAGGCAGCAGUGAGGAAUAUUGGACAAUGGAGGCAACUCUGAUCCAGCCAUGCCGCGUGCAGGAAGACUGCCCUAUGGGUUGUAAACUGCUUUUAUACAGGAAGAAACCUACCUACGUGUAGGUAUUUGACGGUACUGUACGAAUAAGGAUCGGCUAACUCCGUGCCAGCAGCCGCGGUAAUACGGAGGAUCCAAGCGUUAUCCGGAAUCAUUGGGUUUAAAGGGUCCGUAGGCGGUCUUUUAAGUCAGAGGUGAAAUCCUACAGCUCAACUGUAGAAUUGCCUUUGAUACUGAAAGACUUGAGUUAUUGUGAAGUAGUUAGAAUGUGUGGUGUAGCGGUGAAAUGCAUAGAGUUCACACAGAACACCGAUUGCGAAGGCAGAUUACUAACAAUAUACUGACGCUGAGGGACGAAAGCGUGGGUAGCGAACAGGAUUAGAUACCCUGGUAG
rnacentral:rRNA from 1 species